rnacentral:rRNA from 1 species
GGAGGAAUCUUCCACAAUGGGGGCAACCCUGAUGGAGCAACGCCGCGUGCAGGAUGAAGGCCUUCGGGUCGUAAACUGCUUUUAUUAGUGAAGAAUAUGACGGUAACUAAUGAAUAAGGAUCGGCUAACUACGUGCCAGCAGCCGCGGUCAUACGUAGGAUCCGAGCGUUAUCCGGAGUGACUGGGCGUAAAGAGUUGCGUAGGUGGUUAUGUAAGUGAAUAGUGAAAACUGGUGGCUCAACCAUUCAGC